AGCAGGGUUCUGUCUAAGGCUGGGUUCUGUCCUUGUGCUUCAGAGAGGCAGUUGGUUUGUGAGAGAGCAGUUGGACUCAGUUGCUUCUCACAGAUUUGGCCUUUUCCUCAACUUGUUGGAUCUGAACAUACCUUGUAUGUUCCUGGUUUAACACAUGCGAUUAGGUGUUUGACCUUGAAGCAAGCAUCAUGGCCGGCCGCACAGAAGUGAACAUCCUUGAAAAAGAUUUCCGGAUCUUGCUAUCUCUGGGUUCUGGCUCAUAUGGAGAGGUGAAACUUGCCUGUCACCUUCCCACAGGCACAAGGGUGGCUGUCAAGGUCCUUGAUAAAAACAUCAACAGUGUGGCUGACAUCACUUUGGAGGUGGAACUCCUUCAAUCUUUAGAACACAGAAAUAUUGUUCGAUUUUUUCACAUGAUCGACACACUGACAGCAAGUUUCAUUAUCAUGGAAUAUGUGGCAGGAGAGGACCUUGAGAGCUGCCUCAGAUCACUGGGCUGUAUGAAAGAGGAGGAGGCUAGACCUAUUUUCCAGCAGGUGGUGUCGGCGGUUCACUUCCUCCACCAAAGACGCAUUGCACACCGCGAUAUUAAAUUAGAAAACAUUCUGGUCGAUGCGGCAGGAAAUGCAAAGCUUUGUGAUUUUGGUAUGGCAAUUAAAAUCACAGAAGGGCAGAUGCUGGAGGAGAUCUGUGGCUCCUUGCUCUAUUGGGCCCCAGAGAUCUUGGCAAGGAAACCCUAUGAUGGGCUGGCAGGUGACAUGUGGAGCUUGGGCAUCGUCCUCUAUGUUCUGGUCACUGGGCACUUUCCAUAUCUAGAAGCUACCACUGAGGAUAUGCACAGGCUCAUCACUACUACGAUGUGUCCCAUUCCUUACCACUUGUCAAAACCGUGUCACAUCAUCAUUGCACGUUUACUCAUGGUCCCCACAUGGUACAGGUUGACAAUAUAUCAGCUGGUGGAACGACCGUGGCUGGGCCCCAUUCAAGAACAUAGGCUGCUUGCCACAAAAGGAAUACUUCCCAGGAUCGUGAACACAAUGUGCACCAUUGGUUAUACCUGUGAAGAGAUUGUGUCAUCCCUAACACACAGGCAAGUCAAAGGUGAAGUAAUGGCAACCUUUAAUAUUUUAAAAUACCAGCUGAACUGUGGGGACAGCCAUCAACAAGUGGAGAAGCCCUGGGCAAACAGCAGCCCUGCAGGUGCCCUUAGCCUACUUCCAGCUUUGAAGAGGAGAGCGAGUGAACCUGUUCCUUCAACCCGUAUAGAAGCUGGCAAGAGUCACUUUCAGGAGGAUGGUGUGGAAGAAAGAGGCGAGAGUUGCAGAAGGUACCCCAUGCUCACCAAAUACUCCUCCGUGGACCUAAUGCCCUGUUCAGAUGACCCAGUACCAGAAGGAUAUUCUCUGGCAGUUAACAUCACUAAUACUGCUACAGAGGACAUUGCAGUCAACAGAAAUUCUAUGGACAGCCUACGUGGCGAACACUUCUCUCCAUUAUCAGCCCAGGACGGAACAGCCACAGGGUUUGUGAACAUGGGCUUUUUUGAAGAAGAACCAUCCCCAGAGCUUGACAUUUCCAGGGACCAGCCCCAAGUUGGACCCAUAGCUUCUGCUUCUAGGCCACUUAGGGGCUGGAAGCUGAUGAAGAAGCGAAUUUUCCGUUUCCUGGAAGCAUGCUGCUGCUGCUGCUGUCUGCCCUCCCCAUGCUCUUGGGUCUGAACUUUCAGUGUGCAGCUCCUUCAGUUUCCUCCAGCCCCAGCACUGCUUCGUGGACAGAAAGGUGCGCAUAAGGAACAUCUAGCGGGGGAGGCUCCACCUCCCCAGCUCUGGACAUGCUAUAGGACCAGUGCCUACAGCAUCUAAAACAGAGGCCUCUACAGGCAGGAAUGACCUGUCUCAUGACAAGGCCUCUGUCAUGGACAUUGAAGACAGGACUUACUCAGUCCUGAGGAGGACGAGUGUCAUCUUGGUCACUUUAUACCCUCCAUCUUAUUUUGUGACUGUCCUUUGGAAAGGCCUGCAAGAACCAUGGAAGUCCCCUGGAAGGAGGAAAACAGGUGAAAGGAGGUAAGCGGAACAAUUGGCAAAUGGGAUGGAAUGGGAAACAGAAAUGAGAGGGUGUAGUGUGAGGAAUAGAUUCUGUCCUUAGGAACUUCCUGUCCAAAAAGUGCCAUGAAAGAGAUGCUUGUUUUGGACUAGGCAGGAGCUUGGGGCAAUCAAGAGUAGGAAUAGAGUUCCUGAGAGGUACAGCAUGUAACUAGAUCAGCCUGGCCAACGAUGAGGAGAAGAGGGCCUGCUUGGAUGGCUCCUUGCAUGAGUCAAGGCAGACAAGUAGGAAGCUGCCUUGAAGCAUCAUCCUGUUCUAUGCUCCUGAGCUGUCAAGUGGCAGGAAAAAGGUAUAGCCCUGUAAAGUCAGUUGGUUCCUAUCCUGCUCAGGACUCCGGAAGUCCUGUCUUCAAUGUCAAUAACAGGCCCUUCAGGAUUCUUUGUUUCUUUUGAGGGGAAAGUGAAAUGGCAUAGUUGAGCUAUGCCUUUGGUGUUGUAUGUGCAACAAGAGGGACGCAAGUCAGAUAUUGGAGGUGCUGUGUAAAAAUAUACCAGGGCUACAGGUCAUAGCACCCAUCCUCCAAAUAUACAGUUUCAGCUACGGUGUUUAAACCCUUCACCUCCCUGGAGCGCCUGCCCUGCUUGCUAGAUUUCCCUAAGUAGUCACAUGCAGCUGUGACCUGAUAAAAUUCUAUGUCCCUAGUUUUGUCAUGUUUGUGGAAAAAGGCUUUGAGAGCAUCUAGAACAGUGGCCUCUGCAAACAGAGCAGACAUCCAUGUAGUUCUCAGGCUCCACUCCACUCUGUUCACUUCAUCAUACCCAAGCUCCCUUCUGAAGGUUCUGUGGAAGAAGGCCAUUAACCCCGAGUGAACUGUUGGAGCUGCGGAUACACAAAGGGAGAUAAGAGGGAGGAAUAGGGAAAAGAAGAAAUGAGUGGACAUGGAGAGGGACAAAGCAAGAGUGUGCUGGGACACUUCCUGUCAGUGAUGAAGCAGAAAUGAGGGAAUGUGUGGUCUCGGGCAGGAGUUUGAUGAAGAAAGACUAGGAACCAUUGUCCACCGCAGACAAUGUGAGUUGUGAGGACACUGCACACCAUGUGAAGUGGUCCUGCUCUGAUGGUUACUGACAUGUGUCAAGGUACAGAAGUAGGAGUUUGCCCCAAUAAAUACUCUCCUGUUUGGGGCGACUGAUGGAGGGUGUGGCACUGGGGAGUCUGCUGCUCUUGUCUUAUGCAGACUACGUCUCAUCUGGUACCUGUGUCUUUUUCUUCACAGCCUCUUUCAUCCAGGCCUUCCACGUUUCCUCCCAUGUCAUGUUUGAAGAAUCUUUUAUCAUUCUCCCGUCUCAUGGACUGAUUCAUAACUAUCAUUUGAGCUAUGUUUGUUUUGCUCAACAAUGGCAAGUUAAAUAGGUAUUACCGAGCCUGAUGCCAGAUAUUGCCUCUAAGAGGCCAGCAGCCAUGGUACUGGAUUGUAUCUACUGCCAAUCAAGAAUCCAGGCUUAGACAAGAACAAUGGUGAUCAUGGAAUUGUAGAUGUCAGCCCCUGGUGGGGUAUGGAGAAUGGAAUGAAUGUUUCUGUGAGGUGUUUUUCAGGACACAUUUCAGGGAAGGAGAAACUCUCAGGGUUGACCUGGCAACCGAGCUUCACAGAGAAUCCAGAGGCCUAAGGUGAGUGAAUCAUGCAGCUGAAAGUAAGAUGGAGUCCAGUAAGUAUCUGUGUGCUGUAGACCAUGAGUGUCCGAAGCCUGGUCUUCAUAUAGUGAAGGAAGGAACACAGAAGGUGGUUUAUGCCAGCAUCGCCUUCUCCUAGGGAAAUUGUUGACUGUUUACUGACAACCAAUGGGAACAUGAGGGACGACAGAGCUGUGGUAAGGCAGGAACUGCCUGCUCCUUUAUACUUGGCAUCCAGCUUCCAUUCUGCCCAGCUGUCCUGGGCACAUUGACAGCAUUGGUCAAAUCUUCUUCCCAACAGGAUGAUGGGAAGUUUGGCUGUCAAUACUUCCUAGAAUCUGUAUCAUCUGGUGAGUCCUGUGUCAACAGAACAGAAAGCUGAGUUCAUAGUGGUUGAGAGUAAUUUUGACUUUCAUGGCAUCAACCAGGGUCAGCUUGUGUUUCUAUUGCACAUCAUGGAAGCUAGAGCUGUUGAAUGGAUGGGCUUCUUUUUAAUUCUUUAAAGGGGACAGUGAAAUUUCUUGUCCUAACAUUUAGUUUUUAUUUUUUGAGACAAGAACUUAGUACAUAGCAUUUUUUUUGUUCUGUAAAUCAUAAUGUAGAAUUGGUGGUUCCAAAACUCAGUGAGAUCUUCCAUGGCACUGCAUCUUGUAUGCUAGGAUUGUACAUGGGUACAGCAGCAAUAAUAAAUUCUUGUAAUCUUUCCAUGUAGAACCAUUCCAGUCCUGAGCUUUCAUCAUUUGUGCAUGGCCAGGAAUUGAGCUGGAGGCACUGACAUCCAGGGUCGACUAGGAACAGUGAGCAAACCAACCUCAAAUGUAACCUUCAGAAUAGAAGUCUAUGUUCCCAUGGGAGUGGACACCUGAUGGUGGGAAUUCAGUCUAGAAUACUUCUGUGGAGAGAAGCCAGUGGGAUAGGCGUUGUGUGUCAUGCUUGACACCAUUUGGAUAUAGGCCUCAGAGUGUGACUCUCUUACCUUGCCUGCUUUCACAGGAUCCCUUAGCUGCCUUCUGGGCAUAAGUCACAUGACCUCAAAGUGACAACUUCAGGAUACCGUAGACUACCUAGCCAGUCUUGUCGACAGAAUUCUUUCCAUCUGAGCCAAGUGGUCAUAGAUGAAGACAUAAGGUGGGUCACUGAGACAACUGGUACCUGUCAUUUAUUAUUGAAAGCACAGCUUUCACUUCAUGGUCAUCUAUGGUAGAGGAAAGACUCUUGUUCUCCUGAUUCAACACCAAGAUACAGUCUGAUCAGUUGCUGACUUUCAUGACUAGUUUGGAUUUCAUGGGUCCCACAGUGCUGUCUUUGCUUGUCAAACCACUUUGGAUUGAGUUUUAAACCACUGAAACGUGUUGAUCCUGGCAGGCUAAUGUGGAGAUUGGGAUGUAAGAAUCUGAGUUCUGCAUCACCCAAAGCACUGUACAAUACCUCAUGGAACGUCUGUGAUGGGACAGGUAAACUCUCCACAUAAGAAUUGUCGAACAUGUUAGGGAGACCCCGUCCUAUUCCAUAUCCUUAGAGCUUUGUCAUUUAUGUUCAGGUUCCUAACCACCAAACUUCUAUUGAGUGAAAACAAGCCAUUUCUGUCCUUGGGGAAAGCUUGUGACACACAGCACAGUCCUCCUGAUCUUUAUCUGUCUCUGAAAAAUGUCAAAAUUUCAUAAUUGAGGCUGGUUAUGUGGAGUUUUCUUCCUAUAUCAUCUUCAUAUAAUUUUUUCAUUAUAUUUUCUUUUAAAAUUUGUCUUAUUCCAUUGAAACAUUAAAUGUUUUCCAUGGAUGGGUAUACACAUUCAAAAAUCUGAUUUCAUAAUGCCGUUCCCCAGAAGCUUUUAGCUCUUUGUAAACCAUCAUAGUUGAGCUCAAGAUGGACCUCCGAGGAUGAGAAGCACAGGUUGCAGAGGCAGCAUGAACUCCAUUAACUUUUGCUGAAAAUGGAGGGUGGAGAACUAAUGUUUUGCAUGGUUCAUAUAUCCUCCUUGUUUGAAGGGAUGAGCCCUAUAUAUUGUGAGACAUGGGGUUUCCUGCUGUAGAGCGAGAGAACAGAAUGAAGAAUCCUGUAGGAAAUCCAUAGAGUCUGUGUCCAUUUACUGAUUUACCCAAUAUAGAGGCCUCUAUCCAACACAGGACCAGGUAAACCAUCUAUGAGUGUUUUCUCCACAGGAAACCAUAUUUAAGAAGGAAACAUGGCCCAGGCCUACCCUCUCACAGCAUUGUUUUCAGAGUGUACCUUGAGCCAAUACCAUGUCCAAUCUGCCCAUGAAUGUGCCAAUUCUUUGGGCAAAUCUGUACAGAAAUACUACAGCAAUACUCAUUUCUCUGCUUUUCUCAUCAGAUUUCCCACAUGAGGAAAGACCAGCUCCAUCCCUCUUUCCUCAUGGUCCCCUCUCUGAUGUUGCAUUUGCAGCCUCCCUGUAUCCCCGUAUCCCUCCCAUCACAGAAGUCAUAGCUCACUGCAUGCUGCCUCAGUUUUUCUGUAUGCUUAGGAGACUCACGGUGGGGAGUUUUAUCAGGACCGUAUCUGUCUCCUAACAGGGGAGUACCAGCAAUGAAGGGAAAUAGGAAUCCUUUUUAGUAGGAAUACUUGGAUCCUGCUUCCCUUUUGAGGGGGUGGGUUUACGUAGCCAGGAGCACAGUGAUAAUAGAAGAUAAAUUCUUGGAAUCUUGUCUAAACUUAGCACUACAUGUUAGCAACCAUGAGGAUGCCCUGGAAGGGUUCCUUCAAUCCCAAGAUAAGUGAUGGAAAGACAGAGGGAGAUAGUGAGAGAUAGAGACACAGACACUAAGGAGUGGCUCUCAGGGAACAUGAGAUAACUUAGUGUAGGCGAUUCUCUGUACUAAAACAGUUGAAGAGGAAACUUUGAAACAAAGAGUGCAAACAUCUUCACUCACAUCUAUGUCCUGACAUUCAUACUGCCACUGGACUUUUACUGCAUUUGUAUUGGCUUCCAGAGCUAGGGUACAAAUAACCUACCAGAAAUGAAAGAUAGAGUUUCAAAUUAGCUCAAAACUCAGGAACAGGAUCUGACUCAGGAAGACAGAUUGUUAAAAAUGCAGGAGAACCUAUCGAGACUCACUGACCCUCCCCCUAUCACCAGAUAUGAGUAAAUGAGUAAUGAGUUCUGUACUGCCCCUGUGAUAGAUACUUGUUCAAGUCCCGGUUGUGCCCUCCAGCCAUUGAGUCCUGCAGAGAGUAUUCCAGGAAACAGGCUGGCCAAGCCUAAGCAGAUGUGUUUCAGAUGCAGAUGCCUCAUCAACACUGACAAACAUUUACCCUAAAGGACAAUCAAGAUCUGUUCUCAGGAGAAUGCUUGCCCUUUCCCCUCAUUUAAGUCCUAGAGUCUUAAGAACAAUCUUGUAAUUUUGAGAGUUUUCCCUUGUGACAUUUUUGGUAUUUCCUUUUGACAUCCUCUCAUCUCCUGGAGUUUGUGACUUCUUCCUUUAAAAAGCCCUUCUCCCAGCCACUCAGGGUCAACACCUCUGUCUCCUGCAUGUGAUACGUGUCGGCCCAGAGAUCUCCUUAGUAGAUCUCCAUAAUAAACCUCGCCUUUGUGUAUACAUCCAAAAUGGUCUCUCUGUGUCUGGGGUCUGCGACUUCUCGAGACUUGAGUAAGGGUCUCCAUUCGGGGAUCUUUCAGAAGAAGAUAGCCAAGAGGCAAUUGGUCAUUUUUUGCUUCGCCCAUAGCUGGUCUGCUUUUAGUGACCACUAAUGUAGUCUUCAAUACUGAUGCACCUUAUGGAAAGCCAGACCAGAGCAAAAAAGACAUUAGUAAGGUAGCCAUGUCACGAAAUCCCAGGAGAGACAGCAGAAAUGAAUGUUUGGCCCCACCAUUUGCCAUUGAUUCCAAGUAUGUGAAUUUCCCAGUGCAGAGUUGAUGCCCAAGAGACCAGAAGAGUAUAAAGUGGACAUUUUGUGUUGCAGCCACUAGAGGGAGCACGUUGCUGCCUGUUACCUGAGAGAAGAGAAGUCAGCUCUUUAGGGCCAAGCUUACAGACUCAACACCUUCCUUUCCACACAGCCUGCCUGAGAGAGACACCUGGACAGGCGUAGUCAACACAAGCUAUUUCAACCAGGACCUAUCCAAACAUGACAUUACAGGCCAGUAAUACUCAUCUCCCAGAGAAGAAAACUGAGUCCCAGAGAUGAUCCGUAGCUUGCUCUUUUGUACAAUGUAUGUUUGGCUCAUAUACUAUAGAAACCCAACCAGAUAUUUGACUCAGACAUAAUGACCACAAGCACACUGACUUCCUUGUAGUCUUACUGUGUACACUACAGUCACUGGCCAUGUUCUGUCUUCUCUAAUCUGCAGGUUCUGCUGAACAAGAUCUGUGGUCAAAGAUCCUUUCACCGUCCUUGCAUUCUGACUCAUCUAGAAAAUUGUUAAAGAAGAUGGUAUAGGAAAUGCAGUGUCCAAUCCACAUAGAAUGUUGGGAAACUGCUUAAUUCCUUUCUCCUAGUUCCUGUUUAUGGGACAGAUGCAGGCAAACAAGCCAGACCAGUCCCUGAAAACAUUAUUUCCUGAAGAGAACCAUUGAGUUCUUUAUCACGUAAGUCACAUAAGGGGAAAAUAAACAUUAUCCCUGCUUCAUUGGGUACUGAAGUCCACCCAAAAUGAACAGGCUGUGUGAUCUGAAUAGUCACAAGUCUUAGGUAGGACAGUGAAUGUUUCUGGCAACAUCAUCAUGUAUCUUCAAUGAGCCUUCUCUAGUAGAUAGACGUCUGUCCACAUCUUGAAACAUGUACCCAGAAAAUUCCUGCCUCAGGAUGUGGCACACAUUACUAUGACACUGGCUGUGGAGAGCAUCUCCCACCUACACGUCUCAUGAAUGAGUAUCAUGUCAUUGCCUGAGAUCUAGAGGAGCUCAGAGGCUUCACACAACACCAGGAGGACAUGCUGUGGAAGACAAUGAAAUGUUUUCCCUUCUACCAUCCAACUACACACAACCACUCCACAUUUCCAACCAUAUCUGGGCACUCUACAGGAGGAUCUCUUCGUGAAACCACCCACUGGGUAGAUAUAGCCGAUUCACUGCCCAUCUUAGAUAGUUUGCAUUUUGGCUGUGAACAACUCUCACCUAUGCUUCUCUAUUCUCACAGAUAUUCAAGGAAUCACUCCUGAGCAGAUGAAGUAUGUGUCUCCGCAGAGCCUGAGCAAGUGAAUGUGCCUCCAUGUCUGUUGUCUAGACUGGAUCUCCUGAGAAGGCCAGUGGCCAUGGACCCAAGGACCACUUACAGGAAGAUGGUGAAAUUGAGGGCGUUCUGUUGGGCCAUGUCUUAGUGGUGUUGGGUAGAUAAUAUUCACAGUCAAAAAGUACUAAAGUGUUUCAGUACAAUUCCAAAAUCAGCUUUGAAUUGGUAUUCAGAACACUUUCACACAUGGCUGAGAGAAAUACAAAUUGACCUGAACCCUUA